rnacentral:rRNA from 1 species
AAAUUCUGCUCAAUGAAAUUAAUUAAAUAGCCGCAGUAAAUUAACUGUGCUAAGGUAGCAUAAUAAUUAGUUUUUUAAUUAAAAACUAGAAUGAAAGAGAAAAUGAAAAAUUAACUUUUUAAUUAUAAUAAAUAAAUAUAAAUUAAUUUAUAAGUUAAAAAUCUUAUAUAAAAUAAAAAGACAAGAAGACCCUUUAGAAUUUUAUAAAUAAAAAAAUUUAAUAAUUAUAAAUUUGAAUAUUUAUUAAGUUGGGGAGACUAUGAAAUAUUAAAAACUUUCACUUUUUUAAAACAAAAAUAAAUGAAUCUAUAAAUAUCCAGUUAACAGCCGAAUAAAAAACAAAUUACCUAAGGGAUAACAGCGUAAAAUUUCUAAAAAGAUCAAAUUUACAGAAUAAAUUACGACCUCGAUGUUGGAUUAAGAAAAAAUUAUAAAGAAGAAUUUAUAAAAAUUAGGUCUGUUCGACCUUUAAUCUCUU